ensembl:misc_RNA Metazoa_SRP Metazoan signal recognition particle RNA
GCUGGGCGUGGUGGCGCACGCCUGUAAUCCCAGCUACGCGGGAGGCUGAGGCAGGGGAAUCACUGGAAUCCGGGAGGCAGAGGCUGUGGUGAGCCAAGAUCACACGUCACUGCACUCCAGCCUGGGCGACAGAGUGAGACUCUGUCUCAA